rnacentral:rRNA from 1 species
GACGAACGCUGGCGGCGUGCUUAACACAUGCAAGUCGAACGGAAAGGCCCUGCUUUUGCGGGGUGCUCGAGUGGCGAGCGGGUGAGUAACACGUGAGUAACCUGCCCUUGACUUUGGGAUAACUUCAGGAAACUGGGGCUAAUACCGGAUAGGAGCUCCUGCUGCAUGGUGGGGGUUGGAAAGUUUCGGCGGUUGGGGAUGGACUCGCGGCUUAUCAGCUUGUUGGUGGGGUAGUGGCUUACCAAGGCUUUGACGGGUAGCCGGCCUGAGAGGGUGACCGGCCACAUUGGGACUGAGAUACGGCCCAGACUCCUACGGGAGGCAGCAGUGGGGAAUAUUGCACAAUGGGCGGAAGCCUGAUGCAGCAACGCCGCGUGCGGGAUGACGGCCUUCGGGUUGUAAACCGCUUUCGCCUGUGACGAAGCGUGAGUGACGGUAAUGGGUAAAGAAGCACCGGCUAACUACGUG